rnacentral:rRNA from 1 species
GAUGAACGCUGGCGGCGUGCCUAAUACAUGCAAGUCGAGCGAACGGACGAGAAGCUUGCUUCUCUGAUGUUAGCGGCGGACGGGUGAGUAACACGUGGAUAACCUACCUAUAAGACUGGGAUAACUUCGGGAAACCGGAGCUAAUACCGGAUAAUAUUUUGAACCGCAUGGUUCAAAAGUGAAAGACGGUCUUGCUGUCACUUAUAGAUGGAUCCGCGCUGCAUUAGCUAGUUGGUAAGGUAACGGCUUACCAAGGCAACGAUGCAUAGCCGACCUGAGAGGGGGAUCGGCCAAACUGGAACUAAAACACGGUCCAGACUCCUACGGGAGGCAGCAGUAGGGAAUCUUCCGCAAAGGGCGAAAGCCUGACGGAGCAACGCCGCGUGAGUGAUGAAGGUCUUCGGAUCGUAAGACUCUGUUAUUAGGGAAGAACAUAUGUGUAAGUAACUGUGCACAGCUUGACGGUACCUAAUCAGAAAGCCACGGCUAACUACGUG